rnacentral:rRNA from 1 species
ACGAACGCUGGCGGCGCGCCUAACACAUGCAAGUCGAACGAGCGAGAGAGAGCUUGCUUUCUCAAGCGAGUGGCGAACGGGUGAGUAACGCGUGAGGAACCUGCCUCAAAGAGGGGGACAACAGUUGGAAACGACUGCUAAUACCGCAUAAGCCCACGACCCGGCAUCGGGUAGAGGGAAAAGGAGCAAUCCGCUUGGAGAUGGCCUCGCGUCCGAUUAGCUAGUUGGUGAGGUAACGGCCCACCAAGGCGACGAUCGGUAGCCGGACUGAGAGGUUGAACGGCCACAUUGGGACUGAGACACGGCCCAGACUCCUACGGGAGGCAGCAGUGGGGAAUAUUGCACAAUGGGGGAAACCCUGAUGCAGCGACGCCGCGUGGAGGAAGAAGGUCUUCGGAUUGUAAACUCCUGUUGUUGAGGAAGAUAAUGACGGUACUCAACAAGGAAGUGACGGCUAACUACGUG